rnacentral:rRNA from 1 species
GACGAACGCUGGCGGCGUGCCUAAUACAUGCAAGUCGAGCGAAGCGGCAGAUGGGUGAGUAACGCGUGGGUAACCUGCCCUUCAGUCUGGGAUACCAUUUGGAAACAGAUGCUAAUACAGGAUACUAAACGAGGAACCUGCGAUGCAGUAGCUAGUGGGUAAGGUAACGGCUUACCAAGGCGAUGAUGCAUAGCCGAGUUGAGAGACUGAUCGGCCACAUUGGGACUGAGACACGGCCCAAACUCCUACGGGAGGCAGCAGUAGGGAAUCUUCCACAAUGGACGAAAGUCUGAUGGAGCAACGCCGCGUGAGUGAAGAAGGUUUUCGGAUCGUAAAGCUCUGUUGUUGGUGAAGCGGUAAUCAAACAGAAAGUCACGGCUAACUACGUGCCAACAGCCGCGGUAAUUC